CCUCCCACCCGCCCGUCUCCGCCGCUCCCUCCGCCGCCGGGCCGGGCCAGACCACCGCGGGGCGCCGGGGGUGGGAGGGGACGGAGAGCACUCGGGACGCUGGGGACUGACUGUGGAUCAUAAGAAUCUUGACGAGUCAGGAGUUUUCUAAGAUCAGACGCGGAGCUGAUGUCUGUACCAACUCCACGGGACUGAACAAGAUGAGGACCAGACUGUUUAAAGGAUAGAUAACGUAUAUUGACUGGUAUCAUUCUUCCUGUUCUUUCUUUCCCUUACCCCCAAGUCAUUUUCAGUCUCAGGCUGCCACAUGUCUGCUGGCUGCUGCAGUCUUGCACAGCACACCAUUAAAGAAAAGCCUUUCAACCUAAAACUCUUCAG